GUAGAGCACUCCUACGGGAGGCAGCAGUGGGGAAUAUUGCUACAAUGGGCGCAAGCCUGAUGCAGCCAUGCCGCGUGUAUGAAGAAGGCCUUCGGGUUGUAAAGUACUUUCAGCAGUGAGGAAGGUGGAUAUGUUAAUAGCAUAUUCAUUUGACGUUAGCUGCAGAAGAAGCACCGGCUAACUCCGUGCCAGCAGCCGCGGUAAUACGGAGGGUGCGAGCGUUAAUCGGAAUUACUGGGCGUAAAGCGCAUGCAGGUGGUUUGUUAAGUCAGAUGUGAAAGCCCGGGGCUCAACCUCGGAAUUGCAUUUGAAACUGGCAAACUAGAGUACUGUAGAGGGGGUAGAAUUUCAGGUGUAGCGGUGAAAUGCGUAGAGAUCUGAAGGAAUACCGGUGGCGAAGGCGGCCCCCUGGACAGAUACUGACACUCAGAUGCGAAAGCGUGGGGAGCAAACAGGAUUAGAUACCCUGGUAG
rnacentral:rRNA from 1 species